GACGUAGGGCGCGAGCGUUGUCCGGAAUUAUUGGGCGUAAAGAGCUCGUAGGCGGCUUGUCGCGUCUGCUGUGAAAAUCCGGGGCUCAACCCCGGACUUGCAGUGGGUACGGGCAGACUAGAGUGUGGUAGGGGAGACUGGAAUUCCUGGUGUAGCGGUGGAAUGCGCAGAUAUCAGGAGGAACACCGAUGGCGAAGGCAGGUCUCUGGGCCACUACUGACGCUGAGAAGCGAAAGCAUGGGGAGCGAACAGG
rnacentral:rRNA from 1 species